GGCAACAUGGCCGAGCGGUCUAAGGCGCCAGAAUCAGGCCGUUGGGUUGUUGAUUCAACCUGGCUUAUCUGGUCCGAAAGGGCGUGGGUUCGAAUCCCACUGUUGUCA